rnacentral:rRNA from 1 species
CCCUUAGAUGUCCGGGGCCGCACGCGCGCUACACUGAUAUUGCCAAUAUGUCAUUCUUAUCCGAAAUGGAUUGGGUAAUCAAGUAAUGAAAUUUCAUGCUUGGAAUCGGUAAUUGCAAUUUUAUCGUGAACGAGGAAUUCCUAGUAAGCACUAGUCAUCAGCUAAUGUUGAUUAUGUCCCUGCCCUUUGUACACACCGCCCGUCGCUACUACUGAUUGGGUGUUCAAGUGAGAUGCUUAGACCCUUGUUGCAUGGUUCAUUAUUGUGCUCCGAAAGGAAAAAGUUUCAAGCUUGAGUGUCUAGAGGAAGUAAAAGUCGUAACA